rnacentral:rRNA from 1 species
CAGCCGCCGCGGGAAUACAGAGGGUGCAAGCGUUAAUCGGAAUUACUGGGCGUAAAGCGCGCGUAGGUGGUUUGUUAAGUUGGAUGUGAAAUCCCCGGGCUCAACCUGGGAACUGCAUCCAAAACUGGCAAGCUAGAGUAUGGUAGAGGGUGGUGGAAUUUCCUGUGUAGCGGUGAAAUGCGUAGAUAUAGGAAGGAACACCAGUGGCGAAGGCGACCACCUGGACCGAUACUGACACUGAGGUGCGAAAGCGUGGGGAGCAAACAGGAUUAGAUACCCCUGUAGUCCCUGUCUCUUAUAC